GAUUUAUUUAUUUGACAGAGAGAGACAGCGAGAGAGGGAACACAAGCAGGGGGAGUGGGAGAGGGAGAAGCAGGCUUCCCGCUGAGCAGGGAGCCCGAUGCUGGGCUCGAUCCCAGCACCCUGGGAUCAUGACCUGAGCCGAAGACAGAAGCUUAACGACUGAGCCACCCAGGUGCCCCUCUAAGCAUUCCUUCCCAGAGGAUUCAACUGGUAUACUUGUCUGCGUAUUGUUGGAAGAAAGAGACUGAAGGAGAGAGGCAUAAAAUCAAACUGUAGAGGAUGGAAGAGAUUUGAGUGUGGUUGAAAGUUGACGGAAAGGAGCCAGCAGAGAAGAUAGAGAAGAAAGUGAUAAUCAAAGGCAGAAGAUUUCUGAGAAGAGAGACGGAACACAAGCAGAGGGAGUGGGAGAGGGAGGAGCAGACUCCCCGCUGAGCAGGGAGCCCGAGGUGGGACUCGAUCCUAGGACCCUGGGAUCAUGACCCGAGCCAAAGGCAGACACUUAACGACUGAGCCACCCAGGCGCCCCAAGUUUUUUUUUAAUGAUCCCUGCUUGACCUGCAUCCUGUUCUUACCUGCUGGGCAGCAUUCUCAGGCUGCCCUCUUAGCAGAGUCCACACUAUAAUGUGAUUUCUAAGGAAGCAAUGCUGUUACAAGCCUGUGAAAAGUGAACUUGAAAUGAACAGGGGCUCUAUUCCAGGACUCUGGGAUCAUGACCUGAGCCGAAGGCAGAUGCUUAACGACUGAGCCACCCAGGCGCCCCAUGGUUCACUUCUUAUACAUCCACAGAGCUGGGGGCUUCUUUAACCCACCUAUAAGUUC